rnacentral:rRNA from 1 species
AUUGAACGCUGGCGGCAUGCCUUACACAUGCAAGUCGAACGGUAACAGGUCUUCGGAUGCUGACGAGUGGCGAACGGGUGAGUAAUACAUCGGAACGUGCCCGAUCGUGGGGGAUAACGAAGCGAAAGCUUUGCUAAUACCGCGUAAGAUCUACGGAUGAAAGCUGGGGACCGCAAGGCCUUGCGCGAACGGAGCGGCCGAUGGCAGAUUAGGUAGUUGGUGGGAUAAAAGCUUACCAAGCCGACGAUCUGUAGCUGGUCUGAGAGGACGACCAGCCACACUGGGACUGAGACACGGCCCAGACUCCUACGGGAGGCAGCAGUGGGGAAUUUUGGACAAUGGGCGAAAGCCUGAUCCAGCCAUGCCGCGUGCAGGAUGAAGGCCUUCGGGUUGUAAACUGCUUUUGUACGGAACGAGAAGACUCUUUCUAAUAAAGAGGGUCCAUGACGGUACCGUAAGAAUAAGCACCGGCUAACUACGUGCCAGCCGCCGCAGUAAUAC